UACGGGGGGGGCAAGCGUUGUUCGGAAUUACUGGGCGUAAAGGGCUCGUAGGCGGCCAACUAAGCCAGACGUGAAAUCCCUCGGCUUAACCGGGGAACUGCGUCUGAUACUGGAUGGCUUGAGGUUGGGAGAGGGAUGCGGAAUUCCAGGUGUAGCGGUGAAAUGCGUAGAUAUCUGGAGGAACACCGGUGGCGAAGGCGGCAUCCUGGACCAACACUGACGCUGAGGAGCGAAAGCCAGGGGAGCAAACGGG
rnacentral:rRNA from 1 species